rnacentral:lncRNA from 1 species
AUGCAUCUGCCACUGCUGGCGAACGCUCCGGGCGCUGGAGACGGCCGUUCUUUUCCGCAGGUACGUGAAACCCAGUUGCAUACACAACCUAUCCCUCCAACCUCGCCGCCCCAUCUCUGCUGUGCUUUCUCGGUGGAACUCAGACCGUGGCGCUCCAUUCCUAUCACCGUCGUCACACCGAUGGCCAGAGCGGGAUCCGCCACUCCCACGGCCGGGCCCCUCCUCGGCGGGCGCCCCUCCCUUAUCGCCGCCAACAACAGCGGAAGGUGUCGUGUCGUUUCCGACGUGGCGGAGCACAGCCACACGGCCGGGGCGCUCGGACACCUCCCGCUCUUCGGCGCACCCGCCGGCUCAACCUGCACGGUAGGCGGCUCCGGCACAACGGCCCCCCGCGGAGUCGUCGUCGGUGCGCUUGACCACGGCAAGGAGGGCGUCGCCCCCCGCGGAGUCCUCGCCGGGCGCCCGUCCGUGCCACACGCCGACGUCGCGGCCAGCCACAGCGGACGCCCUCGUCUCUCCAAGGAGUGCCACAACGUCGCCGACGCCGCAGGGCACGGCCUGGACGCUCGGGCUUGGGCUACCCCCGCUCCUCGGCGGCUCCACCUCUGUCGCGACGGGCAACUAUGUUUUGUCUCUAAUGCAUGUUUCGCUAAAACCCUUCUAUUUUUUGCAGAGCUCUCACAAAUCAGUCAACCUACGAAGUGGCCAGAUGGAAGGGGCUAUUUCUACUUAAGGUAUGUGAUAUCAACAACAACGCAGGCUCCAGUUUGCUCUGAUUUUAUGAUUCAUCACUGCUAUAUUGUUAGACUUGGUACUGAAAUAAUGGAGCUGUACCACUUGCAGGGCAAUUCUGGACAGAGCUCAUCCAUUCAGUAAAUGCAUAUAUAGGAACAUCUGUGACUUCUGCCUCACUAGGGAAUGAAUUUGCUCCGGAAGCCGUGUGAGGCUAGAGAUAUUGUUUACUGUCCUAUGAUUUCAGCAAUAUACGACUGGAAGUAGGUUCCAGUGAUUGAAACUGUACAGGGUGAUUUCUCACGCUUCUGUAUGAAUGUGAAUUCGAGCUGUGAUUGUUUGUCGCAGUCUACAGUUUUGCUCCUCUCUUUUAAUAGCCAAGCACAAUUUGCUCUUUUAAGCCAUUUGUGUUUGCAUCACCAUUCAGAUUUUCUGUGAACUCAAUACCCUCCAAUUUCUCAUUCUUCCACUGUUCCAUUGUGCAAUAACCUUUCAAU